rnacentral:rRNA from 1 species
AUUGAACGCUGGCGGCAGGCCUAACACAUGCAAGUCGAGCGGAUGAAGAGAGCUUGCUCCUGGAUUCAGCGGCGGACGGGUGAGUAAUGCCUAGGAAUCUGCCUGGUAGUGGGGGAUAACGUCCGGAAACGGGCGCUAAUACCGCAUACGUCCUGAGGGAGAAAGUGUGGGAUCUUCGGACCUCACGCUAUCAGAUGAGCCUAUGUCGGAGUAGCUAGUUGGUGGGGUAAAGGCCUACCAAGGCGACGAUCCGUAACUGGUGUGAGAGGAUGAGCAGCCACACUGGAACAUAGAGACGGUCCAGACGCCUACGGGAGGCGUCAUGGGGGAAGAUUGUACAAUGGGCGCGAGCCUGAUCCAGCCAUAACGCGGGGGUGAAGAAGGCCUUCUAGUUGUAAAGCCCUUUUAUUUGGAAAGAAAAGCAGCAGGUGAAUACCCCGCUGUUCUGACGGUACCCAAAGAAUAGGCACGGGCUAGCUUGGUG